GUGGGUUGUUACAAGAGCUAAAGGGGUGACCUUGGGCACUCUCCUAAAAGCAGAUAGAAGAAGAGGUCUGGGCUUCAGAACCAAGGAGCGGCAAGCCACAUGGUUCUGCUGAGCUUUGACUGAGCAGCUCUAAGCACGGGACUGUGAGAAAAGCUGAAGCAACUGACAAAAGAUGAUCCUGGUAGUGGCAUUUUGGGCAGACUGCCGAGAGUCAGAAUUAGUCACCAGGUGCUUCCUGCCUCAGCCCCCUUCAUUUGCAGGAGGCAGCACUGAGAGCAUCUGAGGAGAUAACUUGGCACUACAUAGUGCAGCACGGUUCAUCUCCAUCAUCAAGAAGACCAAUGGGAGCAAACCUGGAGGUUGGAGAUCUGUUAAAUUUCACUGGUAAUGAAAGCCUACAGAGUCUCCCCACGUGAGUCUGAACAUCACCCCUUCUCUUUCCUUAAGCCUUCAGAGGACAAUACCUGUGGCAAACAGUCCCAGAAAGUAAAAGUGCAGUAUAGCAUAUUGAAGGCUUAUAUACAAGGCUCUUUUGUAAGGACUAAUGACUCAUGCCUCCUGGAUUUAUAAGAAAAUGAGCAUAAAAGCAAUUACUGGGGUGUGAAUUAUUUUGUUUCUUAAUGACCUGACAGUUUUGACAGCUUCUAGCUUGCUAUCUAUCACAGACUCUCUUGAUCUUUCAACUUUAACAUGACUUUUAAUUAUACUUUCUUAUUAGUUAAAGGACAAACAAUCUAUAAUCUGGUUUUGUUCAGUCUGACAUAU
ensembl:lncRNA